UAAAUAUAUUCCUUUGCUUUCCAUUUGUUCCUUCACUCUUGGCAAGAGAAAUGCAGUGAAGGAGCAGAGAAGUGCUGUGGAGAAGUUCUGCUCAGUUGUUAUCCAAGUCCCUUGGCACAAGGUAUACAAAAAACUCCAGAGAAGCCAAACCCAGAGCUAUCUGUCAGCAGGCUCUGAGAAUCAGUGGUCUGUAGCUGCCUGCAGAUUCUCCAUUUCCCCCACUCGCUCAUCAUCCCCUGCAAUAAUUGCUUUGCCAAUAAGAAAGGAGUUGAUGGGACCAUAUCUAAAACAAAAAGUCACUGUUUUUCUUCUGGCAAGUGUCAUGAAAGGGAAGGCAACUGGACUUCAUCCUGAAACUUCUCCCAUCCCGUUUUCAUAUGUCCAUACACAUGGCAGAGGAAGAAUAUCUGCAUCCUGGCCUGAAGGGGCAGAUAAGAAAAAGAAAACUACUCUUGCCACAAAGAGUAUGACUAAAAUAAGUGGAAGAAGGAGUGGCAUGGAAAUGAAUUUGCUGAAGAUUGGUUCUUGUGGAUUUGUGGAAGUCCUAUCCAGCGUAGCCUUACUGGAGGCUGCAUGAAUUUUAUCACACUUUUCUCUAUAGGUCUGUGUCACAUUUGCAAACCACAAUAGUAUCUUCUUAUGACAGAAGAGUACGAAGAGUAGCAGAGACUACUUCUGAUUCAGGGACAAGUGUUUCAAAGUAACUUCUGUAAUCUAUCUUCCUCGUUUCACAGCCCAAUCUUUCUUAAUAAGGCCUGGAACACUGGGCAUUAGGUGUAACAAAUAUUCUGUGGUCAAAGAAAUUCUACCUGUGAGAGGUCUUCUUGAAAUAGAUGUGGGAUUUCUGGAAGGCACGGAUUACCAUACGAAAUAGAUGUUUCUCACCUGCUGGCACAGUAUUAUUCCCCCUGUUCUGUCUUCUGCUUUUGUUUCAUGUAUUUCUGCUCUAAGACUCCAUCCUACAUAUGAAGGAGAGAACUUGCCAGCUUAGAUUCUUCAACCAGGGUCAAGUAUGCUAAGAAUGUCUUGUUGCAGGAUUCAAAAAUCUGUGCUGGAAUUAUCUCCAAAGUCCUCUACAGCAUGUUAAUACACAGUUUUUUUUUUUGUUGUUGUUGUUGUUUUUUGUUUGUUUUGUUUUGUUUUUCCACAUGCUAACUUGGAAG
rnacentral:lncRNA from 1 species